rnacentral:rRNA from 1 species
CUGACCCGCACGAAAGGUGUAAUGAUCCCUUCGCUGUCUCGGCUGCAGACUCGGUGAAAUUUUAGUACCGGUGAAGAUGCCGGUUACCCGCAACUAGACGGAAAGACCCCGUGGAGCUUUACUAUAACUUGAUAUUGAAAUUUGGUGUAACGUGUAGAGGAUAGGUGGGAGACUAUGAGACCAGGACGCCAGUACUGGUGGAGUCAACCUUGGAAUACCACCCUCGUUACAUUGGGUUUCUAACUUCGACCCGUUAUCCGGGUUAAGGACAGUGUCUGGUGGGUAGUUUGACUGGGGCGGUCGCCUCCCAAAAAGUAACGGAGGCGCUCAAAGGUAUCCUCAGUAUGGUUGGAAAUCAUACAUAGAGCGCAAAGGUAGAAGGAUGCUUAACUGCGAGACUUACAAGUCGAACAGAUACGAAAGUAGGACUUAGUGAUCCGGCGGUCCCGAGUGGAAGGGCCGUCGCUCAACGGAUAAAAGUUACCCCGGGGAUAACAGGCUUAUCUCCCCCAAGAGUUCACAUCGACGGGGAGGUUUGGCACCUCGAUGUCGGCUCAUCGCAUCCUGGAGCUGUAGUCGGUUCCAAGGGUUGGGCUGUUCGCCCAUUAAAGCGGUACGCGAGCUGGGUUCAGAACGUCGUGAGACAGUUUGGUCCCUAUCUGUUGUGGGCGUAGGAAAAUUGAAGAGAGCUGUUCCUAGUACGAGAGGACCGGAAUGGACGCACCCCUGGUGCUCCUGUUGUCACGCCAGUGGCAUAGCAGGGUAGCUAUGUGCGGACAGGAUAAUCGCUGAAGGCAUCUAAGCGAGAAGCCCCCUUUAAGAUGAAUUUUCCCAUUUGUAAGAUGUAAGAUCCCAUGUAGACCACAUGGUUGAU